UACGUAGGGUGCAAGCGUUGUCCGGAAUUAUUGGGCGUAAAGAGCUUGUAGGCGGUUUGUCGCGUCUGCUGUGAAAUUUCGGGGCUCAACCCCGAACUUGCAGUGGGUACGGGCAGACUAGAGUGUGGUAGGGGAGACUGGAAUUCCUGGUGUGGCGGUGGAAUGCGCAGAUAUCAGGAGGAACACCGGUGGCGAAGGCGGGUCUCUGGGCAGUAACUGACGCUGAGGAGCGAAAGCGUGGGGAGCGAGCAGG
rnacentral:rRNA from 1 species